rnacentral:misc_RNA from 1 species
UUAAGUUAAACAAGUUUUAAAUUAUGGCAACAUUGUCAAAUCUCAAUCGAAAAAAUUUCCCUGACGUUCGCACACAAGUGUAAUUUUGUGCAUUUUGUUUUCAUUUCACAGCGAUAUAAAGUCGGGGAAUAUACUAAAGUGUAUUAAAAAUUACUUGAGUUGAUCAAAAUAAUAAUACAAUACCAAAGGAUAUUUAUAAAAAUUAAUGAUGAGUGGAGAAAUCACUAUCGUUGGGCAAGUAGAUGCUAUUGAAAAUACAAUGCAAUUUGAUGCUGACUCUUCAAGUUCGGGUUCUCCUGUACCUACAUAUUUAACAACGCCACAACCUACCAAUAGCGCAAUAGCAAAAGAAACUCAUCCUUCUUCUAACAUUAGCAAUAAACGACAAGUAUUGCGAUUUCAUCCAUAUCAUGGCGCUAACAUAAUUUUGUACCAAGAUAAUACAGUUGCUUAUCGAAAAGCAAGCUUUGCCGAUGCAGUUACUUUCUCUGAAAAACCCCUACAGCCUGGCGAAAUAUUUUUGGUUGAAAUCGAAAAAAAUGAACGUGGUUGGUCUGGCCAUAUUAGAUUAGGUUUGACGAAAUUGCAACCUAAUGUCAUUGGCUCCAUGUCGGAGGGAUUGCCACAGUUUGCAUUACCCGAUUUGGCUAACUUAGGAACUAGUUGGAUUUAUCCCAUUUCAAAAUUCGAGUCACAUGCUCCUUUGCCUCCCGAUAAUAACCCUGUGCGAUUAAUAGGCUCGAGUUCUUUAUAUACAAUACCACCACUUAUUCAACCAUCGCCAGGUUCAGAAGAAGAUGAGCCAGUUAAAAAACAGAGAAAUAUACUAGGAAAUUCCAUGUAUGUACGUACACCGAUCGGGAUGAUUCCAAAACGUUUAUUGCGACCUGCUGUUGAUAACGGAGAUGGCAAUUCUGGUAUUUUGCUUACCGAUAAAGGCUCACGCAUUGGCGUUGUGUAUGUACCUACAGAAUCAGAUAAAGAUAAAGGUGAAAUGCAUUUUAUUAUUAAUGGGGUCGACCAAGGUCCAUGCACCAAGGAUAUACCCAUGGACAAUUCUCCACUCCAUGUAGUCAUAGAUGUAUAUGGCACAACAAAACAAAUUCGAAUCAUACAGCUUUACGAAAUAGUUUCUCUACAAAAUGCUUGCCGAGAUGAAAUUCUACUGCACACAAGACCACAAAAUAUCGAUAAUUUGCCACUUCCUGAACGACUUAAGAACUUUCUUCGCCGUAAUGACUAGAUAGGAAAGAAAGCCGUAUAAUAUAAGCAAAAUUUAGCGUCUAUAUGCUUGCAUAGAAGAUGAUAGUGUUUGAAUACGGCUUCGAAUGGGAUGUGGGAUAGCAGACAUUUUUUGUGAAGAUUGAAAGAAAGCUGACUAUAUUGAACGUUUUGUUUAUUGUUGACAAUGAUGGGACCAUAAUCUAUAACAUUCGCCUGUAUUUCAAAUGGGCAUAGUUUAAAUAAAAAAAAUUAACAUACAAAAAUAUUUAUACACAAAUAUUAAUUAAAUAUGUAGUAGUUUAUGCAUUACAAAAUAUGUUUAUAGUAGAAAAGGUAGUUCAUAAAACUGGAUUUUAUUUACGAAAUUUAAUGCAACUUAAAUGAAUCGUUGUAUUCACAAAGAAAAAGUAUCACAUUCUAUUGUAAAUGAACAACAAAUUGGCGUACAUUUACUAAAAAAUAUAAGUAUUGUGCUAUUUUUUUUAGAAAGGUGCAGUACAAAAAAAAAUUGUCUCCAGCUAAUGCACACAUUCGUAUUUACUUAUAUACUUUAUACCUUUAUAAUAAAACAUUGCAUAUAAAGAAACAGAUAAGAAGUUAACCUUAUCUUUGCACAAUGCUCUAACUAAAUAAAAGACAUUAAUCAUUUCAAAUUUUUACUUUUUGUAUACAUUCAUACAUACUUACAUGCAAUGUCGUGCGUUUAUGUAUUCUUAAUAUUAAUAUUACUAUAUGUUUUCAUUAAAUAAAAAGCUUGAUGAAUUUAAUUGUUGAAAUUUUCUAUACUAAGGGUUCCUUCGAAAAUAUUAACAGAGAACAUAAAAUACAAGACAAAUUUACACACGGCAGUAGUAUAGAUAUUAUAUUAUUUCAUCAUGGGUAGUACAAAGAGUAUGAAAACAAAAGGCCUAUGUAUUUUGUUUGUGUAAUAGUAGUUUCGAAUAGUCAAUGUAUUUGGUUGGUGUAAUAAAAAGUUCGUAACGU